rnacentral:tRNA from 1 species
GAGAGGCUAGUCUAACAAAGACAACUGAUUUCGACUCAAUUAAUUAUGGCUCAACCCAUAGCCUCUCC